AUUAGCCCACGGACUUUGACUUGCAGCGGCGUAGCUGUAAAACAACGUGUAAGUGAACGGUGCGCUCCGCUUCUUUCGCGUUUAUAAGCGACGCUGAACUCGAUCGGGCCCGACAGCCGGGUAACUGUGCAAUCUGCCGCGCUCACCUGGAACUGUUCGCGUUCGACUCACGAUCGAAUACCUGGCUUUUUGGUAAUUAUCGAACGAUCGAACGUAUACGAGAACGAGAAGUGUGAACAGUUGGUUUCUAUUUAAGAAAAUGCAUUUUCUUCUGUUAACUUGAUUAACACGAUCCGCGAAGAAUCGUUGGUCUUUCUGUUACUCUUAAACAUUACAAGACAAUUGUAUCAAGACUUUUCUCACUCAUUUUCCCUAUAUUUAAUUAUUGUUUCAUUAUCGAUCAAUGAUCGGGAGAAACUGCUCGGUGGGAGUUCUCAUCGAAAAUUCGCUGUUGAGGCGCCGUGAAAUCGAGCGAAUUCGAUUCUGCAAUAACAUUAUUGCUCGCUUCGAUGUUCACAGUUCCCCGCUCUCGACGAUAUCGCAACGAUUGGCUAAAAAAUGUUAAAGGGGUAUUGUUGUAAAAAGCGAGGCAACCUCGACGACCGCAGAAAUGAAACCGAAUCGAAUUAGCCGGUUAAGAUAUAUGCGCAGAUAUUUGUGCGUGUACACGCAGCACGUGUGUAACUGUAAAUUCGACGACGUGCUAUAUAUAUGUAUAUGUAUAUAUAUAUAUAUAUAUAUAUAUAUAUAUAUAUGUACUCGGUUACUCGUGUUAGUUCCAAGCGACUCGCGAUAUCUCGUCGCCUUUCACUCGGCUAUACUUCGCGCCAUCGUGCAGCCACGAGUUGCGCAACGAUAUGUUAGUUCUCUUGCAUUGCAAAACGAAUGUGUAGAUAUAUAAUACGUGUAUAUACAUAAUAUAUACAUGGCAUAUAACAUGGCCGUGUAUGAUCGUUACCGUUGCAUUGUCUUCUUUCUCGUGACAUUCCCAUUUAAUCUCGAUAGAUAUUAUUAUAGUAUAUUAGACACGAUGUGCCGGAUGAAAUGGAAGGAUUUAUGAUAAAAUUUUACGGCGACCGGAUUGUGCGUCUAUUAAUUAAAAAGAUAGAGAACUCGGAUGAAAUUAAUCGAAAUAAAAUUUGAAAAAAGUUGGAAGCUCGAAAUCAAAUGAAAGUUCGAAGAUACAAAACUUCAUACGAAACUAAACAUAAAAGUUUAAAUGAAAUUAAAUCUAACAAAUCAAGUAAGUCAAUUUCUGCUUGAAUAUAGACAGAAUCUCAUGGGACACACUUGUUUCGAUCAAACAAAAUGUCCAAAAUACAAAAAUUCAAAUAAAAUUGACACUCAAAUUAUGGUCCGUGCUUAGACCGACUACUUAUAGAAUCCUUGACGGAGCACAAAUUUCGUUUCAUCAAAUGUCCCAAGCACAAACCAUAAUUUGGUUAAUUUCAUUCGAAUUUUUUUUUAUAUUUCCGACACCUCCACUGGAGAAUCUCCUUGACACCGCGUGCGGCAAGAAAAGAGAAGAGAAGAGAAGAGAAUUCUUUCACGGACGACGGGGCAGAACGUGGCGGUGCGAAGCGCGGUGCCAGAAACAAGGGUGACAUAAUCGCCGCGCGAUCGAUGUGUACUCGCCUUAUCGAGUGUCGGAAAUACCGUUCAUGGGGUCGUCGUCGACGUUAAGGAUUUGCCCCAAUUGUGUCUCGGCCAGUCACGAUUCCCUCUUGUUCACCGGUGAUGAAAUUUUCGAUGUCGAUUGCCCCAUUUGGAUAAAGAUUCGGAUUGUCAGCGUCGAUAAGUCUCGACGAUCGGCCACGUCCUAAAUUAUAUUUCACCGCUUGUCGUGGCGCUUGAUGUAUCGACUAGGCACAUUUUCUCUGCUUGAUAGUCUAAUUUCCUACCUUUCAGUUCGACGCAACGAAGCUUUCAGAAAUUAUGAGGCUUAUACCGUACUCUAGAAACAGUCUGUGGUUACGAGACAUUUCGUAACCAUGAAAAACGGAAACGCUGGUAGCAGCUGACAUUUCAUACCUGAUAAGUUACUUUGUAAAACCGUUGUAUCGUGAUUUACCAACUAAUAACAUUAACUGUAAGGUAACAGACUUUGUUUCACCUUUAUGCUAGGCACUUGAAACUCUUCUUUCGUUUCCCCUCCUCGUUUGUUGAAAUAAGAUCCAUUUGUCAUUUGCUUUCUGCUUGAAAAACAAGUUCAUUUGUCGGGGAAGUAAAAUACAAAAAUCCAAGAAUAAGAGCAGUAAAUUUAAUCUUCUCGUCGACUAAUUGUUCUCAUACUUCUCGAGGUUGUAACUCAAAAAAAAAAAAAAAAAAAAAAAAAAAAAAAUCACCA